AUACGGAGGAUGCGAGCGUUAUCCGGAUUUAUUGGGUUUAAAGGGAGCGUAGGUGGGAUAUUAAGUCAGCUGUGAAAGUUUGGGGCUCAACCUUAAAAUUGCAGUUGAUACUUGUUUCCUUGAGUACGGUACAGGUGGGCGGAAUUCGUGGUGUAGCGGUGAAAUGCUUAGAUAUCACGAAGAACUCCGAUCGCGAAGGCAGCUCACCGGGCCGGAACUGACACUGAUGCUCGAAAGUGCGGGUAUCAAACAGGAUUAGAUACCCUGGUAGUCCGCACAGUAAACGAUGAAUACUCGCUGUUUGCGAUACACUGUAAGCGGCCAAGCGAAAGCGUUAAGUAUUCCACCUGGGGAGUACGCCGGCAACGGUGAAACUCAAAUGAAUCGACGGGG
rnacentral:rRNA from 1 species